rnacentral:piRNA from 1 species
UGGACCUGGACGUCAGGGGCCUGUGGU